UGGGGAAUAUUGCACAAUGGGCGAAAGCCUGAUGCAGCGACGCCGCGUGAGGGAUGACGGCCUUCGGGUUGUAAACCUCUUUCGACAGGGACGAAGCGCAAGUGACGGUACCUGUAGAAGAAGCACCGGCCAACUACGUGCCAGCAGCCGCGGUAAUACGUAGGGUGCGAGCGUUGUCCGGAAUUACUGGGCGUAAAGAGCUUGUAGGCGGUUUGUCGCGUCGUCCGUGAAAACUUGGGGCUCAACCCCAAGCUUGCGGGCGAUACGGGCAGACUUGAGUACUGCAGGGGAGACUGGAAUUCCUGGUGUAGCGGUGAAAUGCGCAGAUAUCAGGAGGAACAUCAGUGGCGAAAGCGACUUCCUGGACCAAUACUGACGCUCAUGUGCGAAAGCGUGGGGAGCAAACA
rnacentral:rRNA from 1 species